GGUUUGAAGGGAGGAGAAAAGGAAAAAAUUAUAUAUAGGAAAUUUUACUACUUGAUACAUGGCUAAAACCAAAAUCUGAGGUGUCUCUGUAUUUCAUAUUUUACCACUGACUUCCAUCCAGUUAUCUCCAAGUACUUAAUCUCUUGCACGAGUUUACAUCUCAUGGCAUCUCUUUUGAGGUGCUGCAAAAAGGAGUGCUAUUGUAUACACUUCGCAGGCAGGUUAGGACACAAAAAACAAUGUUUUAUACAGCCAGACUCUGAAUGAUGCAGCUGUGAAGAAAAGUUAAAUGGUCUGGCCUUUUGUAAACUGUAUUUUGCCAAUCAACCUACUCGCUUCCUCCUUCCUAGUCUUUUUUAAAAAGAAAACUUGAAUCUAAAGUCCAUAAUCCAAGUCCCAGGUUCUGUAUCUUAUUUUUCAGAGGAGUGGAAGAGACUAAAAACCUGGUAAUGUAUUUGUUCUGUGGAUGCUGUAGUUCAAAGUUAACACUUUAAAAAUGAAAAGACAACAGUGUCAGCGGUCUAUGAUUCUCCUUAAUUUUUCCCCUUUCAUCUACUGAGAAACAAUCAACUGAAAAGAUCUAUGCAUUAGAUAGUGCUUUAGUUUGAGGAAAUCUUUAUAAACAAAUGAUUUUGAGCAGGGUACAUAAAUAAGCAUCUAAUCCUGGAUCUGCUUUGUCUUAGUAUUUGUCAGUGUCUUCCCUCUUCCUGGAAAUACAGAUUAUCCAAGAGGCAUCUGUGGACUCAAAUAUGCCCCAAACAUCAUCAGGAUAUUUUCAAAAGAAUUUAGAUACUGCAGCCAUAAGCCAGCUUCAUUAAAGACUACUGACAAUACAAGUGUCUCCGGUGAACAAGCUACAAUUUAAACAGUCAUGAGGCUGCAAGAAUGACUCAGCUUUCCCUGAAGCAUGUUCCUGCCAGCUCAAGACAUUGAUCGUGAAAUUUUCCUUUUGAUGGAACAAUAAGGGUGGGUUUUAUUCAUUGCUGUUUAUUUUGAUGGGUCUUUUUGUCGUCUGGACUCUUAUGUAUUCUUAAGACACGAGAGUUUGACAUCACUAUUACAGUCAUCCAGUAUUA